GACGAACGCUGGCGGCGUGCUUAACACAUGCAAGUCGAACGGUGAAGCGCCUUCCUUUUUGGUGGGUGUGGAUGAGUGGCGAACGGGUGAGUAACACGUGAGUAACCUGCCCCCUUCUUCUGGAUAACCGCAUGAAAGUGUGGCUAAUACGGGAUAUUCUGGGUCUGUCGCAUGAUGGGUCUGGGAAAGAUAUUGUUUCGGUGGGGGAUGGGCUCGCGGCCUAUCAGCUUGUUGGUGGGGUGAUGGCCUACCAAGGCGGUGACGGGUAGCCGGCCUGAGAGGGUGGACGGUCACACUGGGACUGAGACACGGCCCAGACUCCUACGGGAGGCAGCAGUGGGGAAUAUUGCACAAUGGGCGCAAGCCUGAUGCAGCGACGCCGCGUGAGGGAUGGAGGCCUUCGGGUUGUGAACCUCUUUCGCCAGUGAAGCAGGCCUGCCCCGUUUGUGGGUGGGUUGACGGUAGCUGGAUAAGAAGCGCCGGCUAACUACAUG
rnacentral:rRNA from 1 species